AGUUAAAAACUUAUUAAGUAUUAUGUUUUGAAAACAUAAGUAAGAAGUUUAAAUCUUCUAUUAACUU
rnacentral:tRNA from 1 species